rnacentral:misc_RNA from 1 species
GUGAAUCAUCGAAUCUUUGAACGCAAAUUGCACUCUCCGGUUUUCCGGGAGAGUAUGCCUGUUUGAGGGUCUGCCUAAAAAAAAUCGACAUUGUUGCUGUUGUUUAAUGGUGACUUUCGUCGGAGAUUGGGUUAUCUUAAACCUUUUUUUUUUUGGUUUAUGGUACUUAAACUUUUUUUUACUGAUUAUAUUAA